UAAGAGCUCGUAGGCGGCUUGUCGCGUCGGAUGUGAAAGCCCGGGGCUUAACUCCGGGUCUGCAUUCGAUACGGGCAGGCUAGAGUGUGGUAGGGGAGAUCGGAAUUCCUGGUGUAGCGGUGAAAUGCGCAGAUAUCAGGAGGAACACCAGUGGCGAAGGCGGAUCUCUGGGCCAUUACUGACGCUGAGGAGCGAAAGCGUGGGGAGCGAACAGGAUUAGAUACCCUGGUAGUCCACGCCGUAAACGUUGGGAACUAGGUGUGGGUCACAUUCCACGUGGUCCGCGCCGCAGCUAACGCAUUAAGUUCCCCGCCUGGGGAGUACGGCCGCAAGGCUAAAACUCAAAGGAAUUGA
rnacentral:rRNA from 1 species